rnacentral:rRNA from 1 species
AUGAGCAAGGCCCUGUCUACUUGGAAAAGCAAUGUGAAGAGAAUGAUCGAGAAAGGUGAGAGUUAUCAGAAGAUCAAGGAGAAAAAUCCUUCGAUCACCGAAGAUGACUACAACGACUUCAAGAUCAAUUGCUCGAGCACCGCAAGCUCCCAAUCAAGUGAGUGGGGGAAACAAAUGCGGGAGCUGAACAUAGGGGAACACACACUUGGUCCCGGUGGUUACAGAGUGGCGGAGCCUAUAUGGGACAAGGAGGAGGCGGACCGUGCCGAGCAAGGCCUACCGCCCCUCUUCGAUAAAUACGGUGACAAGCAGACCAGGAAUUUUGUCAGGGCCCGGUACAAGAAGGACCCGAAAACAAAGGAUCUUACCACGGAUCCAAAGACCAGGCAGCUUGAGCUUGUUCUGGUAAGGAAUACACCCCCGCGUAAUUAG